GAUGAAGAACGUAGUGAAAUGCGAUACGUAGUGUGAAUUGCAGAAUUCAGUGAAUCAUCGAAUCUUUGAACGCACAUUGCACCUCUCGGUAUUCCGGGAGGUAUGCCUGUUCGAGCGCCAUUUGUACCCUCAAGCUCUGCUUGGUGUUGGGUGUUUGUUCCGCCUCUGUGUGUGAACUCGCCUCAAAACAAUUGGCAGCCGGCGUACUUGUUUCGGAGCGCAGCACAUUUUGCGAUCCAGAUCAACGUACAGCGGCAUCCAAGAAGCCUUAUUUAACGCUCUUGACCUCGGAUCAGGUAGGGAUACCCGCUGAACUUAAGCAUAUCAAUAAGCGGAGGA
rnacentral:misc_RNA from 1 species